GACGAACGCUGGCGGCGUGCUUAACACAUGCAAGUCGAGCGGUAAGGCCCUUUCGGGGGUACACGAGCGGCGAACGGGUGAGUAACACGUGGGUGACCUGCCCUCAGCUCUGGGAUAAGCCUGGGAAACCGGGUCUAAUACUGGAUAUGACUCCAUGACGCAUGUUGUGGGGUGGAAAGCCUUGUGCGGCUGAGGAUGGGCCCGCGGCCUAUCAGCUUGUUGGUGGGGUGANGGCCUACCAAGGCGACGACGGGUAGCUGGCCUGAGAGGGCGACCGGCCACACUGGGACUGAGACACGGCCCAGACUCCUACGGGAGGCAGCAGUGGGGAAUCUUGCGCAAUGGGCGAAAGCCUGACGCAGCGACGCCGCGUGAGGGAUGACGGCCU
rnacentral:rRNA from 1 species